GCUCUAUAACCCUUUGUGACAUACCUACAACUGUUGCUUCGGCGGGUAGGCCGUCCCCUGAAAAGGACGCCUCCCGGCCCGGACCGGACCCCCCGCGGGACCGGACCCGGCGCCCGCCGGAGGAUAACCAAACUCUAUUGUAACGACGUUUCUUCUGAGUGGCAUAAGCAAAAUAAUCAAAACUUUUAACAACGGAUCUCUUGGUUCUGGCAUCGAUGAAGAACGCAGCGAAAUGCGAUAAGUAAUGUGAAUUGCAGAAUUCAGUGAAUCAUCGAAUCUUUGAACGCACAUUGCGCCCGCCAGCAUUCUGGCGGGCAUGCCUGUUCGAGCGUCAUUUCAACCCUCAAGCUCUGCUUGGUGUUGGGGCUCUACGGUCGACGUAGGCCCUCAAAGGUAGUGGCGGACCCUCCCGGAGCCUCCUUUGCGUAGUAACAUUUCGUCUCGCACUGGGAUCCGGAGGGACUCUUGCCGUAAAACCCCCCAAUUUUCCAAAGGUUGACCUCGGAUCAGGUAGGAAUACCCGCUGAACUUAAGCAUAUCAAAGGGCGGGAGGGAA
rnacentral:rRNA from 1 species